UACGAAGGGGGCUAGCGUUGCUCGGAAUCACUGGGCGUAAAGCGCACGUAGGCGGCUUUUUAAGUCAGAGGUGAAAUCCUGGAGCUCAACUCCAGAACUGCCUUUGAUACUGGAGAGCUUGAGUCCGGGAGAGGUGAGUGGAACUGCGAGUGUAGAGGUGAAAUUCGUAGAUAUUCGCAAGAACACCAGUGGCGAAGGCGGCUCACUGGUCCGGUACUGACGCUGAGGUGCGAAAGCGUGGGGAGCGAACAGG
rnacentral:rRNA from 1 species